rnacentral:rRNA from 1 species
CCAAUAGCGUAUAUUAAAGUUGUUGCAGUUAAAAAGCUCGUAGUUGAAUUUCGAGACCGGCUUACUGGUCGUGCUAUUGUACGUACUGGUAUAAUCGGUUUCUCCUUUCUGACGAACUUUAAUGCCAUUAAUUUGGUGUUUUAGGGAAUCAGGACUGUUACUUUGAAAAAAUUAGAGUGUUUAAAGCAGGCUCACGCUUGAAUACAUUAGCAUGGAAUAACGGAAUAGGACGUUUGAUUCUAUUUUGUUGGUUUCUAGGAUCGACGUAAUGAUUAAUAGGGAUAGUUGGGGGCAUUAGUAUUCAAUUGUCAGAGGUGAAAUUCUUGGAUUUAUUGAAGACUAACUACUGCGAAAGCAUUUGCCAAGGAUGUUUUCAUUAAUCAAGAACGAAAGUUAGGGGAUCGAAGACGAUCAGAUACCGUCGUAGUCUUAACCAUAAACUAUGCCGACUAGGGAUCGGAUGAUGUUAAUUUUUUAAUGACUCAUUCGGCGCCUUACG